rnacentral:rRNA from 1 species
UCAGGACGAACGCUGGCGGCGUGCCUAACACAUGCAAGUCGAGCGAGGAGAUUCCUUCGGGAUGAUCCUAGCGGCGGACGGGUGAGUAACACGUGGGCAACCUGCCUCAUAGAGAGGAAUAGCCUUCCGAAAGGGAGAUUAAUACCUCAUAACAUUGCAGUUUCGCAUGGAACAGCAAUUAAAGGAGCAAUCCGCUAUGAGAUGGGCCCGCGGCGCAUUAGCUAGUUGGUGAGGUAACGGCUCACCAAGGCGACGAUGCGUAGCCGACCUGAGAGGGUGAUCGGCCACAUUGGGACUGAGACACGGCCCAGACUCCUACGGGAGGCAGCAGUGGGGAAUAUUGCACAAUGGGGGAAACCCUGAUGCAGCCAACGCCGCGUGAGUGAUGACGGCCUUCGGGUUGUAAAGCUCUGUCUUCAGGGACGAUAAUGACGGUACCUGAGGAGGAAGCCACGGCUAACUACGUGCCAGCAGCAGC